rnacentral:tRNA from 1 species
GCAGUGGUAAUUCAGUGAUAGAAUUUUUGACAUCAUGUGGGAAACCCAGGUUAGAUUCCUGGCCACUGCA